GGAAAGGAAUAAUUUCCCGGGGAGGAUUGAAAGGUCGAGGGAAAAAGGAACUGGAGAGCAUCUCCCAGAGAAUCAGGGUCCCCUGCAUGGUAGGGCACCCUCACAGUUUUCUUAGUGUGAAAUAUGAACUCAUGAGCAUAUGGCCUGGGAACUGGACCAGUUUUAAAUCUCGUGUUGAGAGCCAGAAGAUGCUGGAGAAGGAAAGUGGUGGAAUAACUGCCCGAGAAUGAACCAUUCUCCAAUGAGAGGAAAGAAGCAGAACGUCAGGUCUGUACCUCACUUUGAAGGAUCAUCACGGCGUGGUUGAAAUGGUGAUGCUCCAAGGUAGCAGAGGUUCCAUAGAGUUGGGCCAGGGCGGAACCGCUCCUGAAAGAGGACAGAGGGGGGCUUCAACAUUGAAAGGGCAAUCUGGCCUUAACUUGGAAAUGCUGGAGAUUGACUGCACACAAUGUGUCCUGCUAGUGAGAGAAGCAAGGACUGCAUCUAAGUGCAGCAUGAAAACUUUUGGUCCCAAGCUUUCCUCCAGCUUCAGUGGGAGGCAGCCCAAAACCACCAUCGGUUCAAGGGUAAAGGGACCUGCAAUUCUUGGAAAGACUCUCCCAAUUCUUCUCCCAACAUGUGGUCAGCUCUUCCAGCAGGAUUAGGGAGGGAGGAGUUUCAGCUGUGCUUCUAAAAUCUUCCAGAAGGAAUUUUCUACCUCUAAAAUCAAGGACUUUCCUGGAAACUGCAGUCAGAGGACAGAACAUUAGCCUCAAGCUGGUGAAUAGGAUGGAUUUUCUCCCUAAACAUCCCUUCUGCUCUCUAGUUUGAAUUAUCAAUAAAAUGGUUUGGCUUAUCUCUGAAAA